UCUCUGGUGCACCUGGCGGUAACCCUGACCUGCCCACAGCGGCUAAGAUAGGGACAAGGGCACUAGCUCAUGCACAGGCCAUUCAAGGGAGGCAGGCGUUUUCUUAAAGCACCUUCCUCCCCGGACAUUUUAGGAACAGAGACGCUGUCACUUCAUGACAAGAGAAUACAAGAAUACGGGACAGAAAGUGAGAACGGUCUCUGGCAGCAGGAGAGGCACUUUCUGGCAGACACAGCCGUCAAGCAGUACGGUGCUCCCUGCUCCCUCCAGCGGCUUUGAGGAGAGGAGAGCCGCUCCUCUGGGUGCAGAGGGGCUGAUGUCAGCUCUGCCUCGGGGCAACCAGGAUAGCUAGGUCUCUGGUUCCCCGUAAAACGGUCUGUGGUUACUCAUCCGGCUGCAGCUAAGGUAUCGUGCUCUUGUCUUGAAAGCUUGUCUAACUAAAUAUCUUAAAAUAGUUAAAAAAUAAGACCACAGGUUUCAAAAGCUUGUCAGUCCAACCUUAAUGUCUCCUUGGCUAUUGUGAUGAGUAAACAAGGCCUGCAAUUUUCUUUCUCCCAAUUUACCUAAGUGCUAUAGCAAUGCCAGGCCAGUGGGGCACCAAACUGGUGCUAGAGGAUGAGACAGCCGGGCAAGGGCUGAAGACCCUUGUCAACUGCUCUUCGUCCAACUCCUAUCUACCUGAAUUCAAGCUGUGGAAAGUUCCCGUGAGUUCCAGCCAGAUACGCCACCUCAGAGUCACACGACCAAGAAUCUAGAGCCUUCCGCUGGGAUUAUACCCACUCUGCUACCACUUCGCAGAGAUCAAAAGGGAAGGUACAGACAGACCCAAGUUUUGGAAUCAAGAAAAGGCAGUCUCGAACUGUGUUGAUGUCUUCGGCUAAUUCUAGACCUAAUUCUAGAUCUACAAGCCCAAAAGGCAAAACUCACAGCGCAACAAAUGAAACAAUAAGAAUCUGCAAACUUUUAAGAUGGGGGACGACCAACUCAGACCCUUAGCAGCCUAUCUUGACUUGCGAAGGUUUGCAAAGUGAAUUCUGUGUCUGUGUACGCCUUGAGUUUUAAGAACACAUUUAACUUCAUUUACUUGUUCACUGAACAAAAAGAAAAGUGCCAACCAUCACCCUCAUCUUAUGAUUCCACAAAGAUUUAAGAACUAGUUGGCUCAAUAAUCCUUAGGAAGAUGGACUUGCUCACUCAGACUUCUCCCUGUUGGAGAAGGCCCCACCCUCGGUGGGUUUUUUCCUUAAAGUUCUCAACGGCCAAGCUAACUGCCGCUCUCCCACCAGAGACCCCUCCAUGAUAGGAGUGAACGCGGCCUCCAUUAUACUUCUGACCAACAACACAUUCCUCCUCUUCUGUCUUCUGAAGGGCAUUUCCUUGCUCCGAGGAGUCUUCAGGAACAGGUCCCACAGGCUGUCUGGAUAACCUAUCCCGACCUCACUUUUCCUAUUGUCUGUUUCUGACCAAGUUUUAGAGAUACCUGGAUUCUUAAGUGCCCUCAAAAGGUUUUAAAGGGAGAUUUCAAAUUGAUGAAAUUAUUCUGUGUCAAGGAGCGCCUAAUGCGUGUACCAUGGCAGCCCAUGGGCUGCUUUAAUAUCCAUAAUAUGACACCUAUAUAUCUAACAUCCUCACCGCUUGAAACAGAGGGAAAAUAGAAGUCUGCCUCUACACAGUUAAAACCGAAGUCAAAAUCCCAGCUCCUAACUCUUAAGAAAACCCUCAAGGCCUCAGUCAUUGCUUGCCUUUCAUUCUGUAUCUGAUCUCUCUUACCCACCCUGGUGACCCAGACCUAAUGUAGCUCUGAAGCUGCCCCCUGGGACCUGCAAAGAUAGCGCCAUGUUCCCGAGCACGACCAACUGAGAGCAGAGGGACAGAUUCCAAAACCAGGCUCAAGGCUACAAGGCAAGUGAUCUUUCUUACCUUACCUGAUAAGCCCCGAGGGCAUACGUGUAUCACAAUGUCAAAUAAUGAUGACUAUUCAUGAUUCUAAGUCACCAAGAACAGUUUAAUCGUGUUUACGGUACUUAGUUACAAAGCGUUCUAAAAUGUGACGAGCCUGGCCCUGGGCUGCUGGGCUUUGAGCAGCCAAUCCACGUGGCCUCCGUCUCCUCUUCCCCACACUUGCUGUCACUAGAGGAGGCGACACACGGUGCAGGGCGGUGGCCUCACCACUGGGUGACCGACCUGCUGUAAGACUUCAUCUGGGCCAGCGCCUGCUCCUCCAGCUGGUCACUGUUGGACGCGGCACUCAAGGGGCGGUGGUUUUCAUCAGCAGCAGCAAAGAAGGAGGCUCUCUGGACUGGAAGGGAGAGAAGAAGCCAUUCAGGAUGUUGGAGCCACAUCCUGGGUCCUAUCUCUCAAACGUCAACAGCUGGCCUACACCGAGGGUCACAUCUGAACAGUGUGCGUGGAGGCCUCCGAAACCUAGCUCCUGACCCGUGUAGGAAAAAAUUACUGAUGAAGCAGUAAGAGGACAGUAGCGUUGUCAGUUCUCUUUGAAAAAUACUUGUGAAUCGAUUUGUAGUCCUCCUUUCAUUACUCAUCACAGUAGCAUUCUAUGAAAUGUUUCCCUGGAAAUGGGCAUUGUGCCAAAUUUCCAGACCGAGGCUUUCCGCCGGGUGAGGAUAUAAAAUGCACUUCUAGAAAUGUUUUCCACAAGAUAGCUGGCUAUCUCCGUUGGCUUCAGCCAAAGUCCAACCGUACGUAUUCCAAAAUAUACCAAACCAAAAACGAGCCAAGAAAACGAAAUCAAAGUUUGAAAAACCUCUCGUUAAAAACUCAAAACUGCUUCCAUCUUAGAUAAAAGAGUGACCAACAAAUCGAAAGUUAAAAUCAAGGCAGUACUGGGGAAGUACCAUCAGCUAACAUGGGGACGGAUGCCCUGUGGACUCCGCCAUGGUGGCCGGACUUCUGAAUUCUGUGGCCUAAUCCAUUUCUCCUGAAAACUCUAGCUUGACUGAAUAGCUACAUUCAAUUCUUCAAGCAAGAGCAAGACAAGCCCCAAACCAUUCAUCUGCUAUCACCGUUUUUUAAAGAGUAUUUCCAGAGAGUUUACGUUGAUGAACAUAGAGUGAAGUCAGUCUAUUCAAAACAGGUAUUUGACAAUUUUUGUCCACAUACACAGCAUUACAUUUAGUCACGGGAAAUGUGCUACCAGAGUCCGGAGAGGUGAACAAGGAGCACAAAGGGAGUGUCCCUGACAUUUGUCGAGACUGGGGCCGGCCAAGUGGACCAAGCAUCCUAACAGAUCCAACCACGCACUUUGCAAUGAUGUCUUUAUGAUGCGGUAAAAGACUCUCUCGGACGUGUGAUCUCUUCAGUCAAGUGACAGCUGGGAUUCCCCCCACACCCUGCCCUCCCCACGCAUGGGCAGGUGAGGCACAAUGCUGUGAACUCCUCUGUGGAGGAGAGGGCAGGCUCCACCUGUUUAAAUCACGCAACGUGUGCCCCUACCGAGUACCCGGUAACUGUGGGUUCAACUGUUUCUGGCUGUGCCGGUCAAGUCCAUGUGCUGUCGGGGUGUUGGAGGAAACCGGGCGGACAGGGACGGACCGGAGCCUCGCACCGCCCAAACCCCAGCGUGGCCCUGCCGGUCCUGUGCUGUCCUGUUUGCAGCAGACUCACCCUCAUAGGCCUUCGCAGCGUCCACCAGGUUGGACCAAUCCAAAUCCGCAGCAGCAUCGGGCAGGGGCAUCAGGCCAGGGUCGGGCAUGGGUGGCCUUCGAGUCUCCUGGACGUCAGUGAGGGAGCUGUCCGAGGCUGAGAACUCUCCUACAGGAAGAGAGUAGAAGACAGAUCAGAUACUUCUCAUGGCCACAGGAGAACCGCUCAGGGUCUUACCCAGUUCCUGUUACCACAGCAGAUUUCUAACUCAGUUGUUGUCUGGAAUCUGUUUCUAAUCCAGCAGGCCACGAGGGGCUGUCCUAAUGCUGAUGUGAACUAGGAACUGGCUUCUUCCAGUCUUAACUCAUUUUUCGAUAACCUCCCUCCAUCUCAUUUCUAGUAGCGUGAGACACAGAAAAGUUAGUUUUGCACCCAGGCAACAUGUCUGCUUUUGUGGGAAGCUGUCUGUCUACAGUGGGGCCCAGGGUGGCUCCAGUGUCUUGCUUUUUUUCAGUCAAGGAUUCAGGCUAGGAUGCUGAGGUGUGGUUUGACAGACAACUGGGGUUUGAAGCCAGACCAGGAAGCUUGUUGGUAUCUGUUCCAGGGGAUAGUAGGGUCGUUCUCACUGGACUGGGACCCGGACUCUGACCCACCUGCCUGUGGACCCCCUGCACCCCUGGGGCAGGAGAGACAGACUUCUCCCCAGACCCCGCUGGCCCUGUACCCUGGGGAUGUGUCUGCAGGGUGGUGUGAGCACCGAAUCAGAUGAUGUGAGGGUGCUCGAUUAUCCAGAUGGGAGUUCCUACAAGAAGGGGAUGUUAGGAUUGGUGCUGGCCUUCUUCCCCUUCCCAAGGGCACAAGGAGCUACUCUUGGGACUGGUUUGGGAUCACAGCAGUCCCACAGCCUGAGCUGCCUCUGAGGGGACCAUUUUAAAAAUACAGAUAGGAAGCCAUCAUAAGGACAGACCUCUGCCUGGCCUGGGGCGGAGAGUGCGCCACCAGUAGGCUGCUAGUGCUCAAGUUCAUAGGGCGGAGAACAGAGGGGGAGGGCUGCUGGGCUCAUGACGUGUAAAUGCUCUCAACAGGGCACAGUGUGACUGCAACACUAAAAUCCAUGCCAACGUGAGCUAAAAGCUCAGCUGAAAUCACUAAGUGGCUCCAGAAAUACCUGUUUACAAGGAGUUAAAAAGUUUCACCAAUUAUGAUAGCCUGGUAAACCAGAGUAUAUUUAGUGCCUGUUUUCCCUUUCAAAUUACAUAAAGAACUGCUCUGAACUGCAGCUGCCAGUUAUUAAUGUGCUUAAAAUUAGCAAAAUUAUGAGUAAAUGGAAAUCAACAAAUA